GAGUUCUUGUACCAGGCCUCGAAAUUCGGGUUUUGCAGCGCCUUCUUCAACUCGUCCGGCGUGUCCGAGAGCUUGUCAUACUUCGGAUAGAAGAAGCGCGAGCGGAUAUCUUCGAUUUCGGCAUNNNNNNNNGCCGUCGCGCAUCUGCACCCACUCCUCCUCGACUUCCUGCUUGAACUUCUCGAUGCCAAGCUCGUGGACCAGUAUCUUGAUGCGCGCUUUGUAAAUGUUGUCGCGGCGG
rnacentral:misc_RNA from 1 species